rnacentral:misc_RNA from 1 species
AUCAUCUAGUUCAGUUGCAAAUGUGACACACGCACAGCUGUACAGCUACUUUCGUCUUCGUAGGGAUGAUCCGGCCCUGUGCAUAUCGAAUCUCACUGCUGUAGUGCCCUAUAGGAAGAUUUCGGAGAAAAAUAUUUAAUGCGACCCUGAAAACAGGGGAGGGGCAGUCUGGAGGCGCAAGACAGUGGAUUCCCGGUCAAUAAUCGUAGUGUAGUCAUGUUAUGAGCAUUUUAAGCCAAGGAGUUGUACUUUACAUAAUGUCCGGUCUUCUCUUAAUCCAAUAAACGUGAGUGAAAAUUUCAAGCUUAGACAAAUAUAAAUCGACAAAAGAAAACUCUUUGAAACCGUUUUAAAGAAAGAACUGUUUCUUGUUCGUAGUGAAGUGAUGAUAUAUCCCAGAUAAUUUAAUGUACAUUUUCGAAGUGUCCUCAAUUAUUACAUUAUUGAAGUUAUUUUAAAGGAUUUGGCAUGGAUACCUUUCAAACACCUUAAAGUAUGAAAGACGUAGUCCGUUUUUCAGCUUGGGUAUUUUUAUUUACAAUUGGUUAUACAUCAUGUGUAAAUGUUCAUUUCGAAAACAAAGAUGGUGGUUUCUUCAUAAAGCAGCAAACCCGACAACACUUUUUAACACCUGCAAAUUCAGAAACGCCACCUAAUGCAGCGCCCGGGGAAGGAGUUCCUCUCUCCGUUGAUAAGUUCACAGUAUUCCAAAGAUCGCAGCCGAUAUCGGUCCGAGCAACUUAUGGCCCGUUUAGUACCAAGCAGACAGUACCGGCCAAGUACAUCGUUCCAGAUCCGUUGCCUGUAAAUACCUCAGGACCAAGUAUUGAUCUUCAAGACCAAGCAACUCACCACUUGGACAUGUCGGCUCACAUCGUUCGCAACGAAAUACCCAGGGAUUCCCCGGUACUACGGGUACUCUUUCACACCGGUACAGAUCCUGGAGGCAGACGCCAAGUUCUUCUGGCUAGACAUCACCAAAAGGUUUGCAUCGUACUCCACGCUACUAUGGGUACUAGAACAUCUCUUCAUGCUGCAUGUAGUCCGGAUGGAGAAGACGGAGUUUGUUUGGCUCAGGUUACCAUUCCAGCUUCCUGGUGGCCCCCUCUACCUUCUCCAGACAAAGACGGUCGGCCUGGAAAGUUCACAAAGACUCCUCCGAGACUGAUACAAGUGGCAUACUCUGUCUUGGAACCAUGGCCCGACGAAGGUGAAGGUUGCCAUCCGAAGAUGCAGGUGCAACCGUCGGCAGUAUUGGGAAGCGUGCAGCUAACACCAGCCAAAGGAGCUUACAAGGAGUUGAAGUUGACGGAGGCAGUAACUAUACUAGUACCUCAUCCACCGUUGUUUCCAAUGUCUAGAAUUUAUUUACCUGUCUUUAUUGAUAAGGAGAAAGCAAAAAUGAUGACUGCUAUUGUUGUUAAAGCUCGAAUGAAAAGUGGAGUAAGGUUUUUGGAAGCAGUUCCAACGGAAGGAAUUCCUUGGAAUAUUACCAUUGAUAUUAAUCCUCGUCAUACUAGCGCCACUGUGACUCUCGUCAGAAAGGAACCUCCUGAUGCUGAUAUACCGGUAACACCAGGAGACGUUAUGGAACUCUUCACUUGGCUUAUCGAAAUAUCCGAAGACGCCACUGAAAAUUACGACGGCAGUAAAGUGGUUUGGUCUGCUAGAUUUGAACCUCAUCUGGAGCAGGAAACGGAGAGUGAGAUUCGCAAAGAAAGUAGAAAGUUGAUAUCGCGGUUUGAAAUCCAGAAAGACGACAUUCAAGCAGUUGUUCCCAUUAGCAAGAAUUGGGAAGUCUUAAACACGGCAGUUCUCACUGGUCUUCAAGUUUCCCAGGCUAUGAAAGUGUUUAUAGUGUCUCAAGCAGGAAAAGCAGCUGAUGUCACCUUCCAAUCAUCUUGUCAUUCUGAGGAUGAAAGCGUUUUGAAGGUAUCUUCAUCAUGUGGUUCAGUUUAUGUGGACGGAAGCGAGGCCAGGGGAUCAGUAAAUGGAUCUGUGAUUGUCAAAUACGGAACAUACACUGGUUUAGCUCAAUUUACAGUAUGGAUGCCGGAAUUUCCACUAGAUUUAUCAGUCGCCGACACAAGAUUGUCUCAACUUAAAUCAUGGAGAGUACCAGACUACAAUCCCAUAUUAACAAAAUCCAAAAGAAGACGAAAGAGAUCAUUCGAUACCAACUGGGGUGUAUCAUCAAUCGACGAAACUGGCAACGUCGUAGAAAAACCAGUAUGCCGGUUAAGAUAUCAGCAAACGUCUGUAGAUGUUUACGCCCAUUUCCUUGCUUCGGAUCAUUCCUCUGGCAGAACGACUUACUUAAUAAACAGAAGAACUUACCUUCGUGUUACUGAUCUGGUACUACCUUGGUUAAGAGUCAGCGAUCCCAGGAUUGCCAGUCUUCACGGAAGAGUACUACAAGGAAGAAGUGUUGGCAGAACUGAAGUACAGGUGUUGUCCCCAAUUACGAGCAGAGUAUACGGCUCUAAAGAAGUUAGAGUGGGCAACGACAAAGUAGGAUUAACAAAGCUCUACGUUCAAGUUGUAUCUGGUCUACAGCUCAACAUCUACCCUGAUAGCUCUUUGGAAAACGUUUACGUUGCCGAAACUGGAAUCACUAGAAAAUUAACAGCACAAUACCAGGAGGGUCUUCUAGAUAUUGAAUUAGAGUUCUCAGAUGGUCAAAAAACUCCUCUUCGAGACAUUUCAGACACUGACUAUCAUCUUGUUGUGGAAAGCUUAGACCCUGAAGUAGUAGCUUUUGCGCCUAUGGUUGCUUCACAUCAUCCCAGAGUUAUAGCUGUUGGUGAAGGUAGCGGAGAUCUUUUACAGGUAACACUUCUAUUAGCUGAAGAAUGCAGAAGUAGUGGCAGACCUAAAGUAAAACCGAUUGGACCGUUGGCAUCAGCAGCUGCUACUAUCAACGUUGACUUUAGUACCAUCGAUAUUCAUAGACCGGAUAUACUACAGAACGAUGGCGGUAGUUACGGUUCUUCAAAAGGAAGGGAAUUUUCGGAUCUUCAGGAUAUACUAAAAGGGAAUCAUCCUAUUCAUUCAGAUAACGAUGAACCCAGUGUACAGGCUCGCCAAUUCCAAGGUAAUGGCAAAGGUAUUCUGCGACAACUAUCAACUCACCAUUCAACUCCUUUAGAGAUUAGUAUGUACGUUCUCUUAGCUGUAUUCUGCUGCGCUAUCAUGGUUUUUGUUGUAUCAUGUGUGGUAUACGCUUCCAAGUUCAAACCACUUAAUCCAGCAAUAACUGCAGGAGUGCAGGCAUCAGCCGGACCACCAGCCAAUUUCCUUAUUCACCACGAAACGCAUAAGCCCAAAGAAACGACAACAAAUGCCCACGAUUGGGUAUGGCUUGGUAGAGCUACCAUUGAGCCUCCCAAUCAGUACACUAGCAAUCCAGCAGACAUGCGUAUCAUUACAAAUCCAUUGAAUAUGAAUUAUUGCGAACCAGACGAUUCUCUAAUGUCUAACAGCUUUAGUAAUCCUACACAUAUAGAGCUCCCUGCUUCCUCUAGCCACGCCAAUUCUAGUAGUAGACAGAUAGACAGUCGGACUUAUUCCAAAGGAAAGGGAGAGAAGAUUAGUAUUGGAACUGAAAGUGAUUCAGAUAUACAAGUGUGGAAUAAACCGACUCCACCACCUCCUUUACCAUCACAUUCUCACCACUCUCAGAACAAUGCUCAGAAUGAUGACUACAAACCACCUGUACCGCCUCAUCGAAAUUUGGGUGUUUCAACAGCCUCGUCCGAUUCUCCUCUACCGAAAAAACCACAUCAUCACCACCACCAUAGAAACAAGAACCAAGAAAAGUCACACUACCAUAGGCUAUCGAACGAGCUCAUUCCUUUAAAAUCUCAGGCCGCGGUUCCAAAGAAGAGAGUCGAAAAUUGUACAGAGAAAGAUAUGUUCGAAUUUGAUGAUGAACCUAAAGCACAAUCUAGAAAGGAUGAUAAUGUGGAAUUUGUACAGUAUUCAAAUAGUCCAAGUAAUAGGAACAGCGCUGAGGUAAAAACAGCCACUAUAGUUGGUAAUCCAAUGUUCAAUGCAGAUAAAAAUGACAAUGAAACCAGUAAAUCCGUGGAGCUUCCAGGCUUAGAUGAUUUACAGCUUGAUAUGGAUUACGAUCAGAUUAUGCAAUAUUUUGAGAAUCUGAAGGAAUCGAAUGCCUGAGUAGAAGAGAUCAUUGCAAAGAUCCAUGGCAUUUUGCUGUCAUUUAGCGAGCAAUAUAAAGUCGCAGCUCUCAGCGAACACCCAUACAUUUCCGCCUCCAAUCCGACAUGUAGCUUUGACUAUUUCUUCGAUUACGUCAGCGAAUCGUACGCUUAAAUCGCCAUUUGUGUACCUUAAUGCACAAGACUGACUUAAAUCAAGGUUUAUUUUAUUCUCGAGGAAAAAAAUAAAUCGGCGAUGGAAACAAAAGAAAAUCUGGAUAAAUAUUAUAUGGACUAAUGCUCCUUCAUACUACACUGUCAAAUUUUGCUCCAUGAAUUUAGUAAUGGCCGUAAAUCUACAUUAGAUGAACCACGUAAUGGAUGGCCCACCGAUGUAGUUACACUGGAAAAUGUGAAGAAAAUCCAGGAAAUGGUUCUAGCUGAUCGUAAAGUGAAGGUGCGUGAAUUGGAAGAGGCCACAAGAAUUAGUAAA